GCUUCUUCCAUUUUUUGCAUCUCCUUGUGAUCAAUAUCAUCCUGUAUGGAUAUGGUUCAGCAGCAAAUAAGAUCAAACCAACAAGUGUAAGUAAACAAGAUGCACGCGUACAUUAUCAGGUGAAGGGGGAAAAAACUUCAUUUUCUUUAAUAUGCUCCCUUUUACCAAGUUAACAAACCAUGAUCUAAAAAUUCAAGCCACAGCAGUUUUUCCCCUAUACAAUAAAAGCUGGCAUUUAACCAUGGCAAGGUGAUGCCAAGCAUGAAGAGCAGAGCAAGUGAAUAACAUAAGAUGAACAAAGGUUUUGAUUGUUGCUCGCCUUCUCCCAUUAUUAUCAAUAUGACAAGUAAUAAAAAUAUCUGCAAAAAAGAAUGUAAAUGGUAAACGCAAAAAAAAUAUUAAACAUGCAAAAAUGGGCUAUGUGCUUACAAUAUCAGGAAGA
rnacentral:misc_RNA from 1 species